GAGAGGUGCUGCAUAGCUGUCGUCGGCUCGUGUUGUGAAAUGUUGGGUUAAGUCUCGCAACGAGCGCAACCCCUAUCGUCUGUUGCCAGCAUUAAGUUGGGCACUCUGACGAGACUGCCUGGGUUAACCAGGAGGAAGGUGGGGAUGACGUCAAGUCCUCAUGGCCCUUAUGUCUAGGGCUACACACGUAAUACAAUGGCGCGUACAGAGGGAAGCGAACUCGCAAGGGGGAGCAAAUCUCAAAAAGCGCGCCUCAGUUCGGAUUGGAGUCUGCAACUCGACUCCAUGAAGUUGGAAUCGCCAGUA
rnacentral:rRNA from 1 species